rnacentral:lncRNA from 1 species
GGAAUUUCAUCAGAAUCUGCUUGGCUCAUCUUGCUCCUUCUUAUGGAAGUCAAAUCACCACCUCAUACAUUUCUUUCUAAACAGAAUCGUCAUGCACCCAGUGGCCCCAGUCCCACUGAUCAAAGCAAGUGAAUGUGUCCUAUUGGAGCAGCAGUCAUCAGACUGAGGGAUGGCGGAGAAGAACCAGGGCCCCAGGGUCUGCAGCAGCAGAGUGACUGGCUCCUGUACCACAUGUGGCAAUGUGAGGAGAUGCAGGGCAAGAUGGCCCUGGACCAGCUUGUCAGGGGCUGCAGGAGACCCAGCAGCACCCAGAAGUCACCAAGCAGCAGAAUCAGCAGUCAGCCCCAGCUGAGCGUCCUCACUCGGCAUUGCAAGAAGGUGAAGCAGGGGAAAGGCAUGCCCAGUGUGAGCCAACAGGACCAUCCCAGAGACAUGGACAGCCCAGAGGCCAGGUGCCUUGGAAGAGCUCACUUGGCUGCAUUGGCAGCUGAAGGAGCAGAAGCAGCAGUGCCAGUGCCCGGCUUGCCCGAUCGAUAG